rnacentral:rRNA from 1 species
GACGAACGCUGGCGGCGUGCCUAAUACAUGCAAGUAGAACGCUGAAGGAGGAGCUUGCUUCUCUGGAUGAGUUGCGAACGGGUGAGUAACGCGUAGGUAACCUGCCUGGUAGCGGGGGAUAACUAUUGGAAACGAUAGCUAAUACCGCAUAAGAGUAGAUGUUGCAUGACAUUUGCUUAAAAGGUGCAAUUGCAUCACUACCAGAUGGACCUGCGUUGUAUUAGCUAGUUGGUGAGGUAACGGCUCACCAAGGCGACGAUACAUAGCCGACCUGAGAGGGUGAUCGGCCACACUGGGACUGAGACACGGCCCAGACUCCUACGGGAGGCAGCAGUAGGGAAUCUUCGGCAAUGGACGGAAGUCUGACCGAGCAACGCCGCGUGAGUGAAGAAGGUUUUCGGAUCGUAAAGCUCUGUUGUAAGAGAAGAACGAGUGAGAGAAGUGGAAAGUUCAACAACUGUGAUGGAU